AGUGAACGCUGGCGGCAUGCCUAAUACAUGCAAGUCGAACGGCAGCACAGUAAGAGUUUGCCUCUACGGGUGGCGAGUGGCGGAUGGGUGAGGAAUACAUAGGAAUCUACUUUUUCGUGGGUGACAACGUAGGGAAAGUUAUGCUAACACCGCAUAUGUUCUACGGGUGAAAUCAGAGGAUCAUCGGACUUUUCGUGAUUGAAUGAGCCGAUGUCGGAUUAGCUAGUUGGCAGGGUAAAGGCCCACCAAGGCAACGAUACGUAGCUGAUCUGAGAGGAUGAUCGGCCACACUGGAACUGAGACACGGUCCAGACUCCUACGGGAGGCAGCAGUGGGGAAUCUUGCGCAAUGGGCGAAAGCCUGACGGAGCAAUGCCGCGUGAGUGAUGAAGGCCUUCGGGUUGUAAAACCCUUUUAUUAGGGAAGAACAGCAGCGGAUGUAUCCCCGGAUGUUCUGACGGUACCCAAAGAGUAAGCCCCGGCUAACUUCGUG
rnacentral:rRNA from 1 species